UACGAAGGGGGCUAGCGUUGCUCGGAAUCAUUGGGCGUAAAGCGCACGUAGGCGGCUCCAAAAGUCGGAUGUGAAAUCCCUGGGCUCAACCAAGGAAGUGCAUCCGAAACUGCGGAGCUUGAGUAUGGAAGAGGGUCGCGGAAUUCCCGGUGUAGAGGUGAAAUUCGUAGAUAUCGGGAGGAACACCAGUGGCGAAGGCGGCGACCUGGGCCAAUACUGACGCUGAGGUGCGAAAGCGUGGGGAGCAAACAGG
rnacentral:rRNA from 1 species